UUUCUCUCUCUCUCUCUCUUUUUUUCCUUUUCUUUGAUUGGUGUUUUGUUCCUCUCUUUGUCCAAUCUUUGAGUCUUUCUCUAGAGCCCGAAGGGGAAGCGACGAAAGGGAAUCAAGAAGUGUUUUCAUUGUCUGCAGGUGCUUUGGCAGGUGAUUUAUCUAUUUUAAGUACGAGGAAUGAAACUUUCAUGAAGGUUGGGUUCAAGUGGAGAGGAUAAAUAUCGCAGUCAAGUGUGGGAAUUUGUUUUUCUAACUCAUUUCAGAUAAUUCAAUUCCUGGGAGAUGCUGGAACUGAAGGAACAGCUUUCUUCUGCUGAUGGUAUCCCUUAACUAUAGUUCUAUUCCUUAUAUAUUGUUGUCUUCAAAAAGCAUAGGGGUGGAGCAAAAGAAUGUCCAAGGGUCAAUCUCCAGGAACACAUACUGCAGGGAGAACCCUUGAAAGGUGCAAGGAGAAGGAGAAGACUGAUGCUGUUGUCUAUAUUGAUAUUGAUCCUGAUGAUCUAUCUGAUGUUGUUGUUAUUGAUGCUCCAGGGUCCUCUCAGUGCAGAGGACAUGGUUCUAAUAAAUUCAAAAAAGACAAAAGUUUUCCUUCUCGGCAUAUUAUUAGUAUUGAUGAUGGUGAUGAUGAUGAUGGGAGUCCUGGAACUGUUGAUGGAAGUGGUGGUGAUCUGGACAGUGAUGCCACUUCAUGCAGGGCAUCUCGAUUUGAACCUUGCCAAUCACAGAGCUUUGAAGGGUCGGAUGAUGAGGACUGUCAGUUCAUUCAGGAAAGAAAUUUUAAUGUGAAAUUAUCAAAUUGCAAGAGGACUUACUCUGGGAAAACAAUCCUCAGAAAUCGUUUUACUUUUUGUUCUGACUCUGAGGAUGGGUCAUCUGAAAGUGAAAGUUCUGACUGUGAGCUUAUGGAGGGUUCUUUUGGAAAAAUUCGUGAUCUGUGGGAAAAAGCUUCUUCGAGGAAAAAUACAUCAGACGAUAUCCGUAACUCUCAAUCUGUUGUAGAUGAGCAGGGUUGUGGCUCUGGAUCCCUUUCCGAGAAUCCAAAGAGUGUUGAAGUGGAAAAUGAGUCUGUAAAACAGAAAGAAACACCUAUUUGUUCUGGUUCAAGUCACUUCAAUGACAGAAAAGAGGAUAUGUCUUCUUAUGCAGGCUCUAAAUCCAUCCCUGUGGGGAAUUAUUCUCUUGACCCUGAGGGAAACAACCCUGUUGAGGAUUUGGAUACAACAGCUGUUAGGCAAGGACGUCCUCCAUGGAGUGAAUUUGAGUCAUGGGAAACCCAUUAUUCUGAAAGAAAGAAUGAUCUUCGGGGCAAAGGGCCUUUUUUCUUCUCUCAGGAACAGGUUGAUGAACAGUUUAAUUAUGAAAGUGCCUUUUUUCAUGAUAAAGAAGAAAAUGUUGCUGAAGAACCCUGUUGGUUCAAUAAUCAAUCAGGCUACAAUUCACAUUCCGAUCAUGGAAAGUUUAAUUUCCAGGAUAGACAGGAUUCUUCGUGCGACACCUUUCUGUCUGUUCAAACACAAGUGGGUCAAGAUAGAGAAUUUUAUUUAGACAAAAAUGGAGGGAUUCAUCAAGAAACUUCCUGUUGCAGCUCUCAGCAUCCAAAUGACACCAAAUAUGACAGAGCUAGUUUUGAGGACCAGGAAAAGCCAGUUUCUGGAGAAUCAUGUUUUUGUGAUUCUCAACCAUGCUUUGGGAAACACAUCAAUGAUGAGGACAGUAAUGGACAUAACUGUGGGGAACCUUUCUUCAAUGCUCGAUCAAGGGAUGACCCUGGAAUCAAUCAUGACAGGUUCAAUUGUCUGGACAAAGCAAAAUCUGUUUCUGAUGAGUCAUCCUUAUGCAACAUUCAACAAGAUGGAUUACUGGUUGAGGACAGGAGAUGUGUUAGAAAUGGUUCUGAACCUGAUCCUGAAUCUCUUCCUGAAACUCAACCGCAGGAUGAAAAGAAUCCUUUGUUAGAUGCUUUAGAUGGCAAUUGUACACCUCAUGUUCAGAAUGAUUUAAUUAGUGAAAGAGAAAAGAUCAAAGAGACUGUUGAGUACAAGUUUGCAGUAGAAAAAGAAUGGGCAUCCAGGCAACGGGAGUUACAAAUUCAGGUUUGAAUACCAUCAGAUGCUGAAGAAUGUGGUGAACUGUCAGCAGAGCCAGAAAAUGCACAGAUUAAAAAAGAUCAGUGUGGCACCUCCUUUGCCUCAAAGCAGGUCCUGCAGGCAUAGUUGGAGCUAUUAGAGAUGCAAUCAAGGAAACCAAUGUUAGCACAAGAAGAGAAAGAGAAGGAAGAAGAAGAAGAGGUCUAGAACAUACUACAUAAAAGCAAUUGAAAUAUGUAUUAAGAAUGUAUUGGUUAUUGAAACAUGUAUUUAGAAUGAUGAAGAACCAUUUCACAUUGAACAGUACAACAACACCAAGGUUGCUAGUCAGAUAGGUGUUGAUGUCAAUGAAUUAUGGCUUUUCGACGGGACUGAGUUCACUCACAUACACCCUGACCUUUUGAACCCCAACUUGGUGGGGGAUGAGGAAGACAUCGACUGGUUGUAUUCUAGCGACCAUACUCGGCACACCAUCCCUAUUUGUUAGUGAUGACGAUGACAAUGGUGACGGUGAUGAUGGGGCUGAUCCAUUUGCAGUUGGGGAUGAUUCAUAUCCGCCAGACAGAGGAGAAUGAAAACAUUAUGGGCCCAUCCAAUUCAUCGGGAGAUUCAGUUUGACCAUGUGACCCAAGAUCAUUACUACGGUGUAUGUGCCCCUCGUAGAGGCUACUUGAAAGGUCUGCGCCGUCAGUUCAGACCAGAUGAGGAGGAAUUGGAUUUGGAGGUCUGAGUCUAAAGGAGAGUAGUGGAUACGGUGGGGAUGGACAGACAGGACAGUGGCGUUGAUGUAGAUAUGGCCCCACGAUUUGGCAUUACCUACAGAAGAAGGAAGAAGGGUCAGGGCCAGCAUUAAUGAGCAUUAAUGGCCAUCGAACUGGCCUACUUUGAUUCAGUUUGGACCAGCAGAAGACCUGUUCGAUUGGGACAGCACGUAAUUAUUUUUGGAAACUUUUUUGUUAGUUAGUGAGUCAGUUAUGCUUGAGUUAUGAUUUCUAUUUAUAAUAGGAGUCUUUAGUUACUUUCCUAUUUAGGUUAUCACAAGUAGGUACUUUCCUAUUUGGGUUAUGACAAGUCUUUCCUAAUUGUAAUCAGAAAGGUUUUAUUUUUUGGUGAAUAAUCAGCAUUAUAUAUGGCUGGUCAAUUGUAACUUGAGAUAAUUUUGAUUGAAUGAAAAUUUCUCUUGCUGUUUGC